AGCACAAGAGCAGGUGAGGGCAGCCAAGAGACUUGGCAGUGGAUUUCAGGCCUGAGAAAGCUGCUUAAUUUCAAGGUUAACCUGAAGGACUCUGCCCUUGAGACUGGCCCCUGGCCUCACCUGAAGACAGAGGCCAUCAGACAUCCCAGCAGCAGAAGCCUGGACAGUCUGAAUAAAUGGGAAUAGCCUUCUGGAAAAUGAAGAAUGCUUGGAUUUGCAAGAACUGUAUUCAGCCAAGGCUGGAUUAUCUGCAAAGAGGCCCAGCUGUGAGAUACAGUAAGUUCAAGAUGUCAGAGGCCAGGCCGCCUCCCCUGCUCGGGCAGCACACAACGCACAUCCUGAAGGAGGUCCUGAGAUACGAUGACAGGGCCAUCGGGGAGCUGCUCAGUGCUGGAGUGGUGGACCAACAUGAAACUCACUGACAAAGGAAAAGGGCUCUUCCUCAUAACCUC
rnacentral:sRNA from 1 species